GACGAACGCUGGCGGCGUGCCUAAUACAUGCCAGUCGAACGCUGAAGUCUUGUCCUUGUCCUGACUGGAAGUGCAGCGAGGGGGUGAGUACCGCGUGGUAACUCUUCGUUUACCUGGGGGACAACAUGUGGUAACAAUUGCUAAUACCGCAUAAUACCUCAAAACACAAUAUUCAAGUUUGAAAGAUGCUAUUGCAUCACUCAAAGAUGCUCCCGCGUUUUAUUAGCUAGUUGGUGAGGUAAAGGCUCACCAAGGCGAUGAUACAUAGCGGACCUGAGAGGGGGACGGCCCACACUGGAAUGGGACCAGGCCCAAGCUCCUUCGGGGAGCAGCAGUAAGGGAUCUUCGGCAAUUGACGGAAGGCUUACCCGAGAAAGCCGGGUGAGUUAAGAAAGUUUUCGGAUCGUAAAACUCCUGUUGUAGGGGAGAAAGAUGGUCGGAAGUAAAUGAACGUCAAGUGACGGUAUCUAACCAGAAAGCCACGGCUAACUACGUG
rnacentral:rRNA from 1 species